GUGGGGAAUAUUGGACAAUGGGGGCAACCCUGAUCCAGCAAUGCCGCGUGAGUGAUGAAGGCCUUAGGGUUGUAAAGCUCUUUCGGCGGGGACGAUGAUGACGGUACCCGCAGAAGAAGCCCCGGCUAACUUCGU
rnacentral:rRNA from 1 species